rnacentral:piRNA from 1 species
UGAUGUGUCAAAGUGACUGUGGUUGCAUC